rnacentral:lncRNA from 1 species
GCCAUAGCAGCCAUGCUGUCCGAAACGCUGCCGCUAGCACUCACCUGCGGCGGCGGCUGUUGUGAAGUUCUGUGACGUGACUGAAAAAAUGUCGGAGCCAAGAGCCAAGCCCGGGCCGGGCCGAGAUCGGAAUAGAAAUCCGAAACGUGACAGGGAAAAAGGAGAAAGACAAUCGUUGUGCGGGCGAGUGCUCCUGUUGCGGCGGCUGUGCCGGCCAACUGCGCCUGCGUCGGGGCCCGGGAAUAGGACGGGCACUGGGCCCGGACCUGGACUCGAAUCCCAACAAGGACUUUCAGGGGUAAGUACGAGUCAAUGAGGGUGGAAAAGUAUGGCUUCCCUUUUGUUCCAAUUAGCCAGUUCACAAACCAUUAUGUUCCUGUCCCGGCUAACACGUCUAGUUGGACGACGGAAAACGUUCAACAGAAAUUGAAUCCAAUACAAAGUACAAUUUGUUUUCUUACUUAUUAACAAUACUUUUUGGAUAAAAUUGUACGAAUGACAACAUCCAAUGUGCACUUCGUUUAAAAAAUUUUCCCACGAAUUCCCAUUGAAAUUUAAAGAAUAAGAAUAUUCCAAACAAACGUUUCUGGCUGGGCGCUCUUGCUCACCAAUACAUUCAAACAAAUUCCGCUUCUCUUUCACUUUUGCCAGUGUGUGCGUGCGCACUCUCUUAGCUGUUUGCAUGUGUUGGUGGCUACUCUUAGGUGACUCUCUUAAGGUGUGCUCUUUGGAGACUCUCUUUACCGUCGACUCUCUUAGGCCUGCUCUCCUGCACCUGCUUUGGUGCUCUUUGUUGUGAGAGUGUUGUUUUGGCGCUUCAUUGUUUUUGUUUGCCUUCGCUCUCUCUCUCUCUCUCUGCCCUGCGUCCCCCAUCCCAUUCACUCUUCGCUUUCUGCUCUUUGCUGCUCCCGCUCUGACUGAUGCCAUUUGCUUAUUGGACGCCGAUGCAUUUCCUCGAGCCAUCACACCCCACCCCAUCACCAACAUCGACAUCCCAUGGCGCAGCUUGAAAUCUUGUUAGAAUUUAAUGGAAUCUCAAAAGUCCUGCGCAAGUUUCGGGCUUUGGGGAAAUGCAAUUUCCUUUUUUACGAUUUUCCUCAGCCAAAGCAUCUUUACCCCUUUUUUGGUUUGCAUUCCCAACUUCUUGGCUUCGCAGUUUUGCUCCUCGGCCACCACGGAGGGGUGGAAGAAGUGGAGUGGAGUAGAGCGGAAAGGAGUGGAGUAUUGCAUCAGUGAAAGAUAUAAUAAGUUUUCGCUCACUUGGCAACAAAGUCGGCUGCCGAUGCAGAUGCAAUGUGGGUAGCGUAGCACUUGCUUCUACUUCUGCCGCUGCUGAUAACAAUGAUUGGUGCUAUCGCGCCGCCGUUUACACAACAACAAUGUCGAGCAGCCCCCAGCUUCUCAGAGAGAGGCGAAACUCUCUGAUGGAGGGAGGUAAAGACGAUGCUGAUCAGGAAAAUGUACUUUGUGUGCAUGAAUGUAUGUAAUUAUGUACAUACAUACAUACUCUUUGAGUUCGGAGUAUUAUGGUCCAAUUGGAUAGUUGGAUUGGUUCGCGUAUCCGCUAAGGGCUCAGAAAUUAGUCGGAAAGUAAUCGGAAUCCACACCGCACAUUUAUAAGGAAGUACAAUAAGGUAGCACCACAGCCAGCAACAACCGAACAAUAACUUGUUACAGCCUCACGACUUCACCCAUACAUCAGUUGAGAUGCCCCCUAUCCUAUAUCUUCUCACUGCGAGUAGGAAUCCGUUUGUGUAUGGUAGCCUCACAUGCGAAAGUGUGUGUGGAAAUGUUGAAAUUUAUCGCUUUGUUUUGUUUGUUAUCGAAGCGCAGUCGAACGCAAACAUUAGUUUUCGCUUUGUUUACUCAAAGGUCAAAUUUAUUCAUGACGUUCACAGCCAGUUUCAGGCUUACAAAAUUUAUUUGUGUUAACCAAAUUAAUUCACUGAUUUGAACGUUUGUUACAUUUUAAAGGAUUAUGAAUCGUUGAUAUUAAUGGAGCGUUUAAUUUCCGUAUCUAUUUUAUUUUGUUUUAAAUUAUAAUAUAGCUGCUUAUAUGUUUUCUUAUACUAUGUGCCUGGCCGUACAUAUUAAAAUGUAUAUUUUAAAAGGCUGAUUAUUAUUUGCAUUUAAAACGAAUAAUGCAAAACUCUUGCAUGUGGAGAUGGAAGCGGCGGAAAGAGUUCUGCCUGAAAUCAAUCUGUAAACGGGUGGAAAGUAUGCCCGGCAGAAGAGACAUAAAUCAGAUGAUGGCUAAAGAGGCAAGACACAGGAGAGUGAAGAUGAAGCCACUUGCUGAGAUUCCUUAAUCCCGUAUUGGCAGCUCGCGAAUGGGAGGGUGGCGGGGCCAUUCUCGCAGCGGACGUCAUAAUCGUUCCAGUGACAAGGCAUAAAAUUUGAGUUUUACGAUUUAACUGGGCCAUAAAGCAACCAAUUAGUGUCAGUGGCAGAGGCUUCCCCAGUGCCUGGGGGCGGGCGGGGGCAGUGCGUGCAGAUUGAAUACUCGCCCACGGUUAUGAGUGUGAAAUUCGUUUAAUUGCUUUAUGAUAAUUCUGACAGCUCAUUAAAAAAGUCGACGAAAUACAAGAAGCUUAACUGUAUGUUUCUCUCUUUUUUGGCCUUGCUCCUGCUACUGAAUGGGCUGAGGUGUAUAUUGGUGCUGGGAUUGCGUUUUCCGUUCAAGUGACUUUUUAAGGAGCUGCCUAAUAUACGACUUCCCUCGCAGCACGCACAACCAGAUUCAGAAGCAGGCUCUGUCCCUGCCCCUAGCCCUGUGUAGGAGUAAUAAAAGUGACGACAGUUUCAUUUUAUUUUUUAUGACAAAGCGUCGUCUGCGGUCUCUACCUCGUUGCCCCGCGCAGUAGCAGGAGCUGUAGCUCAGGUGUGUCCACAGCUCCGUAUAUGUAUGUAUGUUCUCCCCACUCUCGCUGGGCAGGUGGAUAAUUUUUAUUGCCGUAAAUCACAAUGUCAAUUGUUUCUGUAAUGGCCGUGCCAUCCAUGGCACAAAAAUGGAGACAUUGAGUGGGCUCCAACGUCAUUUAGAUAGAUAUGCGUACGUACGAGUAUCUCAAUUGAGCGAACAACAGAAUUAAGCAAAACAAAUGCCAGACAGAAAGCAGACAAUGAAAUAAAUCGGCUCGAAUAGUCGUAAAAAGAUUAGAAUUGGGGGAAAGGUUACAAAAUGUAGGGACGGACUGCUCUGAUUGCAUUUCUUAUCGCAAUUAACCGGAGCGUAUGCAAAAUGCAUUUGCCGCACACCAGAUCCAAUUGCAAUUUCAAUUGCCACCUCUCCAGGUCGAAUCGCAGCUUCUCUUAUCAGCCAUCAGCAGGCAUUGGCAUUGAUUGAUCAAGCCUGGUCGAACGCGGCUUGGCCAAUCGAUUGGCUCAGAGACCAGCACCGACGAGAGCAGCUAGCUCCAAGCUGCUGGGUGCAAUGUUUAUUUGAAAGUCAGUCUUCGUCGGGAGUGUGUGGGCCCGCUCUUUGGGUAAAUAAAAUGUGCCAGAAAUUCCAACCCCAACGGGAGCCCAGCAUGGAGAACAGAGAAGAGCAGAGCAGCGUUCGGUGGUGAGGUAAGUAAACAAAAACUAAAAUGAAGAAUGUCCGCUGAUUGACAUUAUCCGGUGCACACGGCGCACAUGCCACGCCGAUAAUGGCACCCAUAUCCACACGGUGUGGAUUCCCAUUUAGGAUUUCCGCUGUGGCCAUAGUUCCUUGGAGCUGGUAUCUGGUAUCUGGUGGGCAUGGGGAAAGUUAAGCAGGCUGUUAAGCAAUAAACAAGGCAUCCUCGGGAAUGUCAAAAUGUUUUUGAUGGAUUGCCAGCAACGGGGCUCCGUUGUCAUUUGCAGCUAAAAAGAGAGAAUGAAACGGAAAAUUAUUUAAUUUACUUAAAAGCUUCUGCAGCGGGUUCCCCAUUUUCCCCAUUUUUCGCUAUUUUCCGUUGCAUUCCGGUCUUUUAGCUCUAGUCUCUUAUUUUUUUUUUUGACAAAAUAAAAUAUUUAAGCGCAGAGGCAAAACAAAAACAAAAUCGAAGCAGAGCAGUCCGCUGUCUCUGUGUGUGUGUGUAUAUGUACGUGUGCGUGUGCGUGUGCGUGUGCUUGUAUAUCUGUAUCUGGAAAAUGUCUAAAAGCAUUUCUACUUUAGUUCUCGUUUCUGUUUUUGGCACUCUGCCUGCAGCUCAUUUUUGUUGUUUUCCCCAUUUUAUAUUCUUUGAUUCCGUCUAGUUUUCCAUUUCAUUCCAUUCCUCCGCAUUGCCCACAGUAGCAGAAACAACAACAACUAUAAUAACAACAACAACAAGGCACAACUACAGCUACGUAUCAUCAUCAUCAUCAGCACGGUCGCCCAUUGUGAUUUUCUUGUAUUGUUUUUCUUGCCAAUUUUCGUUUCAUUUUCCUUCCACUACACUAGCAAAAAACUCAAAAAGAACGUAAUAAUAAAUUUAAUAUCAGUUAGUUCCUAUAUUAAAAUGUCAGCUAAUAUUUUCCCGCUUCAAUUAAACAUUUAUUUGUUUUCAUUUUGCAAAUCAACAUAUUUUUCUUGCAGUGUAGCCACACCUUCUCAUUCAUUCUCGCCUCGUACUGGCACUCGUCUCUUUCGCAUUUUCGUUUCGCAUCAUAAUUUUUUGUUCGACGACGGCGACGACAAAGGAAUACCAUUGAAAAUCACGUUCCUCCGGAUGGAUCCACUUGGGUACGCAACCCAGAGAAGAACUGCAAACAUUUCUUUGGCUGCUUCUCCCUGUCCCGUACUCAGCCGGCCGAAACGCCCACAUAGUUCGUGUUCCGUAUUUAGUGCGGCCCCUCUGGGUAGGUCUCCAAGGCUCCAUUUCCCUCGGGCACUUUUCAAAUGUGCCGUAAGCAAAGCACGCGCCGACGAGCCAAAAGAAAGAGCAGCAGGAGCAGAAGCAGAAGCUGGAAUGGAAAGUCACAUCCAAGUUUGAAAAAACGUGUUCCUCCUGGCUUUUUUUCGGGCUCAUCGGUUUCUUUUAUUGACCAUCGAGUUAAUGUAGCAGCUAACGCUGAUCUGGCAGAGGUAAAUCGCUUCGAAAAGGAUGCUUUGCCCAUUCGCUUGCGAGAGACCAGCAAACAAAUCAAUCCCAAUAUGACUUUCAGCAUUUAAAAAUGCGCAGACACUCCGGAGUAUGUGUACACUGCGCUGCACAGUUUUAUUUGUCUCGAAGAGUCGAAGUUUGUAUGCACUGAAACGAGUAAUAAAUACAGUAAAUACGCUCUCUCUGGCUUCAUUUUCUGAUUGCGCUGAAGCUGGAAGUAUAUUCAGAUCUGAUUCCCGCCAUCAGUUAAAUGUCUUAGUUAUAGUGUGACAAAUUGGUGGCAGGCGUGCCAGGUGGAAUGAGUUGAAAGAGCACACAAAUUGGAACCACUCAGACGAUAAGGAACUAUAUUGAAUUAUUUAAUUUAAAAACAGGUUCCACUAUCUCCACAUUGGGGCCAACGCAAAGCCACUGAUUCUGUUUUGCUUUGAAAUGUAAAAUAAUCUAGACGGGACUUAGUUGGAGAGCGAAAGUUAAACCAUGGGGAAAUUAUGUCUGAUAUAGUUGCCAGGAUGGCAGAAUGCAGAAAGGAGCUGGAGAUAAAGAUGGAUGGCCCGAGCUCAGGGUUCAAUUUGUCUGAGCGCCUGCUUAUCUAGCAUAAAACCUAGUGAGGCAGCAACGGGAGAAUGCCAAGCGCUGCACUGCAGUAACCCGGCCCCUCACCUUCCUGUGCAUCAUGGCUGCCAUAAGCCGAUGAUGAUGAGCCGACUGGGUCGCCUCGAUAUGGCCACCGCGUUGCAUUCAUUCCCUCGCCAGCAGCUAUAGCAGCCGCCACGCACUUACACAACCUCUGGAGCGCACCCAUACAGCCACACAGCUGCCACAUGUGCGAUGGGCUGUUGCCUAUCUUUCGCCAUAUGGCUCGGCAUCCACUGAGAACUUUUAAAGUGGCGUCAUGUACGAGAAAUUCCAUCAGCGGAAAAGCGGGACGUUUCCCGGGGCCGUCGCAAUGCGAAAACUGGCACAUGCGCAGUGCCAAUGUCGGACCGACUAGGGAGCAGGGCGGCAGGCGGCAGGCGUACUUGGCUGGCGGUGGUUGGAAUGUGGACGUGCAGCAGCAGCAGUAGGGGACGGGGCACCGGCCACACGCGAUGCAUGAUAAAAGCUAAAUUUAAACCUCACCUGAACUGCCACAAAAUGCUGUAUUCCAACUGUAUCUCGAAGCUUCAAUUGCGCCGAUCUGGCUUCCAUUUUAUGGUCUUCUUGGUGAUAUUAUCCGACGAAGCUUUGCGGAAGAGCACGAUCUGAUUCCGACUUCCAGUAGCGAUUUGAGCGGUUGAAUAUGCUUCGCAAGGGAGAUUCCAUUUAUGUAAUGACAAGAUGACAUUAGAAUUGUGAGCAGAAUCAUUUAAUUUCUAUAAGUUUUAAGUGCCCAACAAUUUUGUUUGCUUCGGGAAAGAAAGUCACUCGUUUUUUGCAGCAAUAAGGCGAAUAAAAUAUUUAAAAUUAUUAACCAAAACUCGUUUUAUCCUGCCAUUGAUAGGGAAUUUAUUCGCCAAAGCCAAGCCGCUUACCGUAAAUUACAAUUUAUGCCCAGCGGCAAGCCAAGUCCCCCUCCAGCCACUGCUCCUUCUUCCUUCCUUCCAUUCUCCAUGUUUGGUGUGGAAAAAACUCGUUCCGCGAGCAGCCGCAGCAACCCCGAGCAGGGCCCGAAACGGAGGCUCCAUUUCAAUUGGAAUUAAGUAAUCAUAACUAAUAACUGUUCGACGUCCACUGCAUUUGCAUGUGUUAUUUUUGGGUUCGUUGAUCCAUGGGAAUGGCGGCCAUGUGCCGCCGCCAUCGAGAGUGCUCCGGUCUCGCUUUUUGCAUUUGGUUUCCAUAACUUUAACGACUCUCCAUCUCCGCACUAGCUCUCUGGUCGAUUGGACAUCGUACUCGAAUAUGGUCAACUGGGGAACUAUUAGCCGAUGGGCGUACGAAGUGCAUCUCCCAUGUCUCGCAGAGCAGCGCAAUCAAUUGUCAUAGCAGAGCAGCUGAAGCAGAUUGCUUUACGAGGGCAAAUAUUUGUGCUGCCUGUCGGCAUGUGGCAGUGGCAACCCGUUCGAAAAAAUGAAUACAUAUAGAAAAUUGCAAUUUAUAUGGCUGCCAUAAACAGGGGCUGCGUCGCUUUCACUUUUCCCGGAACAUUUGAGACGCUUCAUUUUUUUGACCAAACUCUCUGUGUUUUUUUCUGGUAAUUGCAUUCAGAGCGUAGCAGACGCAGGUCACAGCAGACAGACAACAGACAAUCCCGCUGCCGAACCCUUUCUGGCACAGUCGGAGAUCACCGCCGUCGUUCCAUUUCCGCAGCGGGUGAAGACGCGAACACUGCGAAACUGCAGAUCGUGCGAUCUAGGACUGAGACUGAGAACUAAUAAAAACCAUAUUUUCCUUGAAACGGGAAAAUGCAGCAGCAUUUGAAAUAGUUUUCACUCAUACCAAGAUUGCUGCUGAAAGGGUUUCUCCUCACAGAAGUUUUUAUUUUGCAUAAAUAUGUUUGGACCUCUGGAAACCAAGUAUUGAUGUGCACAGAAACAUGUUCGAACAUCAAAACGCAAGACAUGGAAUAAGUUUCUAUCGAUUAAGUUUCUUCGAUGUAUCCAGAGCAUUUCAAGUGACACCUCCGUCUCGUUGGGGCAUUUAAAGUUAUUCCUUUGGAGUUUGCGCUGGAGCUUCUUCGUAAGCGACUGCUGCGUCGUGACCCUCGUUAUGAUACCAUCGAGCAUACAUAAAUAAAUCGGAACACGAGUAAAUACUUACAACAAAUCAACACGGAGAGUGUGGAGGGAAGACAUGGGGAAUCGUUUUAGUUUUCCAUUUGCCCCGCACGGCUCCAGUCGUCGGAAAAUGGAAAAUAUUAAUGAGAAAAAGUUCCUCCUCGGGAGUAGACCUUUUAUGGGAUUUCUAUACGGACAGCCAGACAGACUCGCUAGUUAGCCUCCACUUUGGUGCGGACAUGUUUGUCAUUUACAAGUUGCGCUGCCAAUUACUCUGAGGACCACGAAGCACUCCAAAGAGAUGGCAGACGCUCUGCCACGGGCCCAGUGCCAUGGAUCUGGCUGCUCAUUAUGAAAAUGAAAGCAGUUUGUUUUGGCAGACGGACAGAGAACGGUAGCCGGAGAGGAGAAGUACAUAUAUCUUUGUACUUGAGUAGAAUUUAUGCACACAAGCAUAUUCCAUUGGGGAAUUCGAAUCGAGGUCGGGCGAGCUCUUUCUGUCUGCCUGUUUGUCCAUCAAACAAGGAAACUAAAAAGUUUUGCAAAAAGCAUCACAUGAGACUGGCAAGAAAAAAGAAAUGAUGAGGCCCUCGAUGGGAUGCUGCUCGGCUGUGGCAGGGAAAACAAAUAGACAAACAAGCAGCAACCACUCGACGGUACUACAGUGGGCGGGAAAAUGGCGAACGGGUGGAGCAGUAGCAGUAGCAGUAGCAGGAGCAGGGGAUGGUGCAAAGGGACACACGACCUCUACAUAUGAGCAUAAAAACGGGCUCGAGCUGGGACUGGGACACUGGCGGGGACUGUAUGUGAAUGAAGCAUCGAUGUUGGGAUAAUCGAAUGAGCGACGGGUAAUGGGGCGCAUGGAAGAGACCCACAACUGGACCCCAUGGAAUAUGAAUGCAUCUCGAGCAUCUUUCCGUUCCUUCAUAUAUCAAUGGACAUGUGUGGACGUGGAGGCCUCUGUGGGAAUACUCCCACAAGUAACUCGUGGUGCGUGAGCGGGGCCACCGACCCACUCCCCUGGAAACAACUAUGAAUUUAUUGUAUUUCUGCUUUCUGCAAACACGAAAGCGCACUUUUCGAGGUAAUGGGUUGGGUGUUUUGGAGCUGGGCGAUGGGCGAUGGGCGCUGGACCGAAAUGAAUUGAAAUAAAAUGAUAAGCGUGAAAUAAUAAUGAGGAGCGUGAUCCGGCAUAAAUCGGCCAGCUCACAUGAUACUCUCUGCAACGACCAAUGAACACAAGGACAGCGUGCUUUGGGCUUUGUAAUCCAUGUAAUCGGCUGUGAAAAGUGUUUUGCAUAUGAGGAUGCUUACAUAGCCCGGCAAAUGGGUCUCUCAUAGCCCAUAGCCACAUCCCCUUCUGACAGACUAAACUUGAAAAAAAAGGACAACAAAAUAAAAUAUUUACUCAUAUUUCCAAGUACCUAAUUAAACAAUAUUUAUUUGUUUUCCAUCUCAUUUCAGUUUGAUUCCGUUUCGGCCCCUGGGGAGAGGAUGUCGCCAGGCUGCAGCUGUUCCAGGUGAGUCUCCAUCCAAAUUGUAUCUCAUAUAUUUGGAUAUGAAUGCUGCAUGCCAAAUAAAAGUAAUAAUAAUGGGGAUGCCCAUAAGACUCCAUAUGGCAACCAAUUGAAUCGAGCCGCAGGUGCAACUGUGGAGAGGGAGGAGUCGCGGCUUUUGUUGUGCCAGAAGAACCCUGAAACUGUUUCGAUUUUUUAUUUGCAAACAUGAUUUUUGCUAAAUUACUUUCCUAAACGACGCGCAGGGCACACAUGUGUGUGUGUGGGUGUGUGUGCGGCAUAUGAAGUAGUUGAGACCCAAUGUUGUACCUUUUGCCAUUUAUUUGCACCACAGCUUCCCGAGCCAAGGAAAAAAGGCAAAAGUUGAUCAAAUAAAUGGCGAAAUUUCCAUAUUCCAGCGAUAAGAACGAGAACGUGUAGCUCAAAGAUUUCCAUCAAAUCGAAUCGGAACGGGUCGGGACGGAACAGAACGGGACGGGAAAGGGCAGAGAAAUCGCCUGCUCGGACGACCGAGUAACAAGUUGUGCGAAUCUCUAUCUAAGGGUGGUGGGAGGUCCUUCGCUGGAACGGGGUUGCUGCGAGGCAGGUACAACCCCCGUCGCUUAGCUAAGUAAAUGGGUUGGCUGGCGAACGUGACUCGCCCUGCCACGAUAAUGUAGAGCACAUGACUCCUUUGCUCCUUCGCCAGAUCUACUACUGCACCAUGGAGCAUUAAAUUAACUAUUUAAAAAGACAAAUUCCAGAAUAGCGAUGGAUUAUUUUGGUUAAAAAUUUACUUUUUGAACAGUGAACUCAUUUGAUGGCGGAUUCGAUCGAUGUUUAAGGUGUUUUUAAUAAAUAAAUAGGACAUUUCCAGGAACAGAUGAUAGUUUGCUCUUGUAAUCCUAGAGAAGUACAUGCAAAUAUGCAUCCGAUUCAACACUCCGCGUCCCACUGUGCGUUGACAUUGUGGAGAAAACCUUGCGAGGAAGCUGGACAAAGCCAGUCACGAAUCCAAACUAAUGAGGAAUACACGUAAUUACAUGUGGUUACACAAUAUCAGAAACAAUGCCCCUGCCUCGGGAAUCAAUGCCCAGAGACAACCCCAGAAAUUUAAUAAACACGCAAGUGCACGGAAGUGAAUUAUCCCGUCAGUGAAUGAUGUACAUAAGUCGUCUCCGCCUCCACCUUCCCUCCACUAAGACUUCUGUCUGUCUGGCGCUGCCUUUAGCUUCUUUGCCUUUGGCUUUGGCUUUCCCCCUCUUGGUUUUGGGGCUGAUGUCUUAGACGGCACAUAAAUACCUCGUUUAUUUGCCUGACUUUUGCCCGUGUGCGGCGCGUGUUCUCGUUUCAUUAAGCGCUCUCCACACUCGCUUCAAUUGGAUGCUUUAUUUGCGGCUUCAAUUUGCCAGCCUUUUUGUGCCUUUUAAUUAAAUGUUUUCCCCCUCUUCAUCGAAGCCGAAACCCAAUUAAAUAGUCCGCAGAUCAUUAAGCAGGGCUGAGUUCUGAUCAGUUAAGGAAAAGGUAUUGCGCGAAUAUAGUUGAACUGCUUUCGAAGCAGGUGGAAUUUCCAGUUUAAUCGCACAAUGAACUGUGCAAAACUAUCGUAAAGUGAAUUAAUUCGACUAAAGGUAACUAUAAGUGUUGUGUACGUUUCUAGCAAUUGUCUUGUAUGCCUGUUUAUGACUUGGAACUUUGUUCUAGUAUUUAAUCUACAUUGCCUCGAAUUCAAACUAAAUUUGUUUUGAAACAAAUUUAUUUUGAAGGUUUUAGGAUCUAUCCAUGGGCAUGAGGCUCUCUCUGCUCGGCAUGUCUGAGCAGCUGUAAAUAAGUAAUGAAAUUACGUCUGUACCAGGCGAGUUCAUGUAAGUGGCUGGAUGCCAAUGCCGGGCAGGUGGCGCUGAAGGGUAAACGCUGGGGCAGACGUGGGGAAGUUCAUUUGAAAUUUUAAUCAGCGCUGCUUGGUGCAAAGUUGAAUUAAUUUAACUAAUUUCUUAGAUACAUUUGCAUGGAAGCUGCACUCAAUCGUGGCCGUUACCGCUUCGAGUUGCUUGAUUACAUUAAGGAUGCGCAAUUAGAAGAGCCCCGCAGCCUGCUAUGGAGAGACAGUGCUUGGGAUGGGCAGGGUGGCCAGAACUCAAUUUCAUUAAGUGCCAGAAGGUGCUGCCCAUUUCGAGCCUUCCCCACUUUGACUUACCAGCCAGCGAGGAUUAGCAAAAGAGUUCGCUCUCAAGUGGAUUAUGAACCAAGUUUCGGGGGGGCAGGGACUGAGGGAAAACAUGAAAAAUGGGCUAAUAUUCCACAGCCCUGCACUGCAAGAAAUUUGUCUUAGUAUUCGAGGGAGAAUUCUGGCCCAUUCCCAUUCCCGUUUGAUUUAUUUGCGUCAGAAUGCUGACGGCCACGGCUAAUGAAACGUGUGGAGAAGCACGGCAACAGCCGCGCCAACAGUGGAGCAAUAUCAACAAAAACAAAAACAAAAAAAUCAAAAACAGAAUCAGUUCAGCCGCCGCGAGUCGUGGACAGACAUAAACAGCUGCGCCCCAAAACGGGUGCGAGUUGAAUGGAGGGGUGGGCGCUGCAUAUUUCGAUAUUUCUGGCCUGCCACUGCCACUGCCAUCGAAAAGGCACCGUUAUGGUAACCGUAAUGGCUUCGCACCUCUGCGUGAAUGUGUACAUAUGUGCGAGAAUUUACGAAUGGGUGCCGCAAUCGCAGUCCAGCCUCAGCCUCAGAUGGAAUUUCACGUGGCAGCAACAAUGAGCUGAACAACCACUGCAAGUGAACGAUGAUAGCCUGUCCCGCUCUCUCCCCCAGGAGACGCGCACACAUUGCGUCCUUGUCGCGCACACGCCACACACACACAUACACAGGUAGCGGGCUCUUGGGCUGUUGGCGGCCAUUGAAACUGGCAGCCAUUCCCCCCGCUCCAGGCAACCAGCCAACUAUGCCACGACCAACUCGAACUCGACUGCGCAAGCAGCGCCCCGUCCCUCACACCACAGAGACAGAGAGUUUGACUUGAGCCUGAAUCGAGGCAGGCCAGGCAAAAAUCUGUUCAGUUAUACUGCUAGAAUUGUUGUUGGCAUUAAAUGUUUUGGAUAUUGAAGGCUGAGGAGAGAAGAGGAGAGGAGACCAGUCCGUACGCAUUUUUUUCGAACCUGCCUCUGUAGGGCACCGGCAGAUAAACAUGAAACAAAACAGAGAUUUGAGAGAUACCGGGUAAUCGGGGGUGGCCAUUGGGGAUAUUCACUUAAGAGUCUCUGAAUGCCCAACUUUGUUGGCAAGUUAUCAAGUAGUAAAUAUUAUUAUUUAUUAGUCUAAAAUAUGUUAGCGACGAAACGGACACAGCUUGACGCUUAUCCAUGACAAAUGGAAUUAAAUGGAUCACGAAAACAGUAUACCUUUUGUACUCUCCGAGAACGGGGUAUAAGAAACUCAAAUUGUUUGUGUUUCAGUGCUGCAUACAGUUGUUACUGUGUGGGGGGAGUGUGGAAGUGUGGAAGUCUGGUGUCGGCCUGACUCAUAGAGCCCAGCACACUCGGUGUACUAUUUGUGGGUGUCUGAGUGGUGGAAUACAUUUACUUACAUUUUUUAAUGCACCCAAUAAAGAAAACAAAGCACAAACAAGUUCCAUCUUUUUAUAUUUUUAUUUUUAAACUCUGGUUUAUUUAUUUUAAAGUGGCCACAACGUAAAAUGGCAUGGAAUUUCGUGAAUGAAAAAUAUGUUUACUAUCUAUCUACUACCAUAUCUCGUAUGACGUUGGGAUUGUAUGUAUUUGGGAAACAUAUUGUGAUUUUCUGAUAUGAAUAUUCCUUUAAUCAACGCAAAGUGAGCUGUUCCCAAGACAACCCCAACCGCUGCCAAGAGCGCCAUGAACUAUGAUUGAUGAUUGAUGACCCUUGUUGCAGCGGCAAUUAACUUGCGGUGCUGCAUCGUAAUGUCUGCGAAUCUUGAGGCGAGGGGAGAUUAAGAUUAGAGUAGAGCAGGGCGCACAAUGAGUGGCAGGCAGUCGUGCAUUGAACCCAGUCUUCUGUGGCUUAUUAUUCGCCACGACUCUAAGCAUAAUCCCAACCGAGGUGGAAUAUAAAUGGCCGCAUUUCGGAGCAAUCCAACUUUUGUCCUGGUUAUAUGACCGAGAGCGGGAGUAGCAGUGAGAGGUCCCGUCGGCAUUGAGGGAUGAGCAAAGUUUUUAAAAAAUUUAUAUUAUUUCUGAGUAGUUGCGGGCACCAACUAUGAACUAUGAACUUUUCGUCACCCAACCCCAUCCCCGAGCCCACUCUGUGAGCAGCUCGAAACGGCUGCGUGGCUUAGUGCGCGCGACGAACUUUGGGGAGCAAUCGUGGAGUCUUAUCAUGGUGGAUUUAUGCCAAAUGAUGGCAGAUUGCCAAGCUGCAACUACACACACACAAACUGUGAAAACUCGAGGGAGGCGAGGUAGGUAGUCGACGGUGGGGAUAGAUUGGGUUCAAAUGGAACUGGAUACAACAACGACUGGGCAGGCAACGCGGCUCCUAGAGUGCGAGUGGCCGGCUGUCUGUCUCUGCUUUCUGGAUACUUUUAUUUUCGUUUAUCUUUCUCUCUUUCUCGCUUGUUUUUUACAAUUUUCUCUCGAGUAUAAUGGCUAGAAAAAGUUGUGCCAUUCCCGAGACAGCGCACAGUGGGACUCAACUAGCGAUUGCCUUUGACACCACUUUAUGUGACUGUGUCUAGCUUUUUCUUCCACUGUGUGGCGCUCGACAUCAGACUUCUCCUGCUGAUGCUGCUGCUGCUUGGGCCACCGUCUUGCCGACGUGGAGCCAAUUUGUUGCGGUUCAUCAAUAUGCCACGCCACACACGCCAUGCCACGCCAUGCCAUGGCAGGGUCUGGCCAACCAACCAAAAGGCCAGGGAGUGAAGCUAACCAGCAUCGGAGUCAGGGACAAACGGAUGCGGAUGUGGUUGGGUGUCAUGGUGGGGCUCGCCCCUGCGCAGAUUUGCUGGUCCAUGUUUGUGGGGCCUUGGGGGCCUCUGGAGGGGUAGCUCGGCAAUGCCGGGACCGAGAAUCGUGGUCGUUGAGGAGCUUAAGUGGCUCCACGUACUGCUUCUGAAAAAAAUAUGUGCAUAAAUUUAAAGAAUCUCAAUUUACUUGGUUCGUGUUCAUUUGUGUGCCGGCUGCUGCAGCCCCAUUCCCUGUCUCCUUCUCCUUCUCCAUCUCUAUCUCUGCUGCGAUGCCCCGAUCCGGGGAUCGACAGCGACUCCUGUACUGCCAUGCCAUGCCCUGGUCUGGUCUGUCUGGUGAUUUGUGAGCCCAAUUAUUGUACACUUUCUUGUCUUGCCAGCCUCCUCCUACCACCACUCCCACUGCCACUGCCACUGCCUCUCCUUGGUCGUGGUCGUUUUUUGUGGUUGUCACUUUGUUAUUUAUUCAGCGCCAUGAAGCAGCUCUGAACUGUGCUGUCGAUACUGGGCAGGGCUGGGGCUGGGACUGAGGCUGAUGCUGGCGCACGGUUCUCAGACACUGAGGCUGUUAAUGAGUUCGUUCGUCUCCGGUUCGCGCUCUGUGCUCUGCGCUGCGCAUUUGGAUGCUAAUGAGUGGAUGGCAUCCAAUAAAUUUAGUUCGUUGGGCUUUGCUUUUAUCGCUCCACUUGCAUAAUUCACGGAGCUACAGGCGCUGCCAGCCCCCAGCCCGACACUCCGCCGAGGCUACAGAGGUCAAUACAAAUUGAUGGGUCGCAUUGUUAACGCCGCUGAUUACAAAUUAUUUGUAUUGCCCCCUUCCAGUUGGCUCUUGCUCAGACCACCCUGUUUGGUAAUUGAGCGAGUGAGAUCCAUGGGUGCCAAAGGGGUGUCCUGUCCUCCUCUGGCGACUUACAAGGGUUACUCUCCCUCUGUUCCUAAAUAAAAAUGUACAAAAAAUAUCUUUAACUACAGUAGUCAAUGGGUAAAGUAACUAAAUAAAUGGCAAGACAUCCAGUUUUCCCUCCAGCGAAUGUCAACAAUCUUAUCAGCAAAUAUAACUGAUGCUCCGAUCUUCCAGAGUAUGCCUACAAUGUGAUUGAUUCUUCCAAAGAACAGCAAAAUUAAUUUUAGUUUUGCUCGCUCUCUCCGGCGCACACAGUGCUCCAGCAACCCCAUCCACAAGUCACUAAUAAAGACACAUGCAUCUCCAGGUAGUAGCCAAAGUGAUUCAAAGUUGCACGAUCCACUUAGAAGACCGCGAUUAAAGCAUCAAAACUAAUUGGCCGAUAGUCCAGGGUCCAGUGUGGCUCGACGUUUGGUUUCCUGCUAUCCGAAACCACUUUUAGCUUGGAUUUUGGAAUGGGGCUAACCUAACUCAAUGAUAACGGAUCAAUCAAUGCCAGCAUUUGAAUUGGAUUUGAAUUGGAAUAACUGUUUCUGAUUUAUGGUAUGAAAAAAGUGUACAACGAUUAGAGGAAAGGAAACGGGAACUCGGAUUAGGAGCACUCUAAGUAACGAGGUACCUCAUCUAUAUGUGGAAUCAUUGCCUUCGUUUCCUCUUCCAUGAAUUGAGUUGCGGUUACAUAGCCCAAAAAUGAAUAGAGAAAUACACAGCAGGAUAUUCCUUCGAUUCUCACUCGAAGUUCCAUUUGGCUUUUGUACUGAAGAAGACGCCUGGCGGGCGAACCGGGAAGCUGCACGCCAGAUAUCCUUUGCUACACUUCCAAUCAGCAGAUAAAAUCCGUUUCCCGCCAGAGGGCGCUUUAGUAAGACGCUGGGCGUAGACUCAGUCCAAUUGGAAGUGCGAACGAUGUGCAUGGGUGGGGGGAGCGAUGUUUGCCUUACGCCUGUGUUUGUGCGUGCAGUGGUGUGCGUGACGGAUUUUUUCGGCGGCCAUGCUGGAUUUAUCUGACUAUAUCGACAUCCACCACCACCGGGCGUCCUUUUCUCGCACAUGCGCCGACGCUCGACGCAGAUAAAGUCUCGAUUCAGGCGUGGCAACGCUACCAUGGUCGUCGGCAGCGGCAGCGCCGCCCACGCACACCAGUGCACGCACAAACACAAACGCAAAAGAGCCGUCGCUCUGCCUCACCACGCUCCCCCCGCCUAAAAGACUGGGCCCACAGCGCGUGUCUUCCAUUAUUGAAGGGGCCGCGUUGCCAUGGCAACUGUGCGCGUUGGUCGCUCGGGCAGAGCAGAGACUCACACUGAAGCUCAGACUGGUACUAGUAUGCUGCGGAGAGCGAGACGGGAAAUGGGUUUCGUCUGGCUGCGGCGUCACCAUGGCCUGGUCGUCACAACAACUCGAGCCAGCAUCGAUCCCUUGCGCAGAGAAGCCGAGAAUUUUCCAGCAAUGUGGCAGGACUGCAUAGGGGAUACUAUGUAAAUCUGCCAUACGGCAGGACAUUCUAUUCAAAACUGAUUCCAAAUUGUUUUGAAAAGAGAACUAACUAAGCAGAGUUUAGCUAAAAAUGCUACCAAUCCUAGUUAGGGUUUAGUCUAGGCUCGAUAAACCAAUACAACAAUGCACAGAAGGCACGACUGAGCUUCCCUGCGACACUCCAAUUGCCGUCGGCACUUGGAGCUCAAUUAAAACUCCCCCUUUGCGGACUCGAGUCCAUUCCGAACUCAUUUAUGCAAAUUUCCAUGCUUCGGACCACACACUGAUGUCAGCUAAUUGACAAUUAGCGGACACAAUGUAAUUUUAGCUUGACGGGGAGGGGCCGCCGCUUGACUCAUUUAGGCGACAAUUGUUUAAAUCAAGAAAAACAUUUGGGUGUUUGCCAGACUCUGCAGACAGACACUGCCUCUGAUAGGAGCGGAGUUAAUCAUUUACUGGACAAUGAGCACAGCAGAAUUUGCAUAACUUAAACGCAGAAUUUAUUUUAAUUUAAUCAUUGCAUAAAACGUACUUCUUUAUAUGCACUCACACUCGCAGUCACCGCGAGCACGAAUAGAAGUACGAAUACGAAGGUGCCUUUGAGCUUCACUCUGAGGAUGGCGACGAGUCGGAAGAGGAUAGAUCCAGCUGGAAUUACAGGAACAAUUUAUGUAAAUUCCUCGACUCCAACUCCGACUUCUUGCCAGUUUUGCCGCUGGCCAAGAUGAAAUAUUUUAGUCACGUUAAUUCAUUUCACGUUUAAUUCACAAAUAAAGUUCGUAACUUAUAUCGUGCUCAUAAUGCAUGCAAAAUUAUUGGCUGUGCGGGGAUACGCUGCACUAUCCGCUGCCGGUGAGUCCAUUAAGUGUUCGAUUUACAUCCGAUAUGGCUGCCACGGUGCGGUAGCCAGGCGGGGCUUGCUAUUCGCCCGCUGAUUUACAAAGGCCCCGGGGAGAGACCAUGCUCCGUCAGAGUUUAAGGCCCUGGCCCUAAAUCCAAUUCGCAUCUCAGCGUGCUCUUUGUGGAUCUGUGCCUCGCUCUUAACGACUUGAUAAGUAAAAGUUUUCUCCUUGGCAGCUGCCACACACAGCGCAAACCGGAAAUAAUUAAGCGAGCCAAAGUUUGUCAGCCCAAGUUUCCGCAAUAUGGAAGAAACUAGAGGCCGAUGCCGAGGCGAGGUGGCGAAUUUCAUUAGACGGCCAGCCGCCCCAUCUCCCGUUAAACAGACUGACAAAGUAGCACCGAGAAUGGGGAGGAAUCUGUUGGGGACAUAAAAACUUUACCAAAAAUAUUGGCCAACACUUUUGGCAGCCAAAUUAAAAAGAAAGCCAGCUCAAGUGGCAAGAGUACGGGCAACUUUAAGUUGAUUUCACCCACAAGCAAGCGUCAGCUCUGUCCAAGUCCUGUCCAAUUUGUAUUCCGUUUCGGGCUGUGCUAUUCAUAAUGUAAGCGAAAACAAACACAACAGCCCGAGUCUAAUAGAAUCAUAUUUUCGUAUUUGCCGGGCUUAUCUGGGUGGCCAUUCCAUUGCUUGGUUUGGUUUGUUUGCUUCCCAUCGUGAGCACACUUAGGUGUGUUCUUCCAGCCGAAAUAGAUGUCAACAUCCCAGAAAUUGAGGCACUUACACACGAAGCGAAGCUUCCUCUACGUGCACUGCAAGAAACCGGAUGGAAACACAAAAGUUUUACUUAUUCCUUUGGCCAUUCUGUUGCCCAGAAGUUGUCUCGUUCUGACUCGGUUUUCUGCCAGUGGCCGAACGUUCAACGUCACUUACCCAAAAUGCAACGCCCGCCGUCAGAGCAAUCCAAGCAGAGAGCCAGGGGAGCCGUAGGGACUAGCCGAGGUCGCACAAUCACGAGCACAAGCCCAGGCAAUACGGAAUGGGAACAAAGCCAUUCUUCCGAAUCGUUGCCUCAUGCACAAAUAAAAGAAAAGUCACAGCCCGGCCAGGGCACGGAAUAAGUGCCUAUACAUCAGCUGCCUCGAUGUGGGGGUGGUUCGCUUGUGGGAGCGGGUUCCAUCGUCCUUAUCGUAUCCUGUUUUGCUGCCUCGUUGCAACUGCUGUGCAAAUAAUGGGACUGAAGGCUCUCCCAGGAGCUGGAGACAACACCUACAACGUCCACGGGGAUUGCAGCCACUCGAAACAGAUUUUCUUUUGGCAACUUCUGGUGACGUUGUGGCCCGUGCCCGGGGAGCUUUAUGGGUGUGGCGGGCUGCGUCUGCUCCUCCGCUUUGUCAGCUCCACCUCCGUCGACGGGUUGGGACGUCGACACGUUUGGUGUUGGCAAAAGUUUUCUCAUUUUGGCAAGAUGCUCGCUCGUAACGAAAAUUGUCGAGUUCGCCAAACGCCACUGGGAUGGAGCCCCAGCCAGAACCACAACGUGAACGAGGGAAGAGCCAAAUGGCAUCGCACCGCAUGCACUGGCGACAUUUCUCAUUAAAAGUUUUCGACAUUUUGUUGUCUCAACAAAUGUUCUUAUCAGCAGACAAAGCCAUUUCCAUAAUGAACACAGCGGAACACGAAAAAUGCACAAAGCCAAUGCCAUGAAAAUCGAAAGAUGUCUGUCAGGUGUCUGUCAGCUUAUUCGGCUACGGCUAUAAUGAUAUGCGGGUGUCUUAAUUAAUAAUAGGUUCACUGAUCUGGAGCAGCAUGUUGGGCUGAUUGUGGCGCAUGGAAUUUCUUACUUUACUUACGAAGCCGAGAUACGUGGGAGUAUAUGAUGAUAGAUUUAUUUCAGAUAUACUUUAUGCGUUUCCAUCAAAAAUACGUCAUGAAAAGUAGUUGGUACUUUUGGUAUCAACCUCUAGUCGAUCUUGCACUCACAGUACUCCAAUGAAAACUGAGAUCUUUUUCGGUGUGCAGGAGUACAUUUCUCGGCCUUGUCUUAAGUGUAAUUACUUGUAGUUUCGUAAGGCCAAUUAAGAGAAUGUUCCCCGGCCAUGCCACAUUGCUGCCAUAAAGUAUGAAAUGAUAAUUUCCAGGCCAUUGCCAGAGCAGAAAAAAUAGCAGACCUUGAAGCUAAAUUAGGCGCAACCUGCGCGCAAUUAUCGUUAGCUGUUCGCCUCCUCCAAAGGGUUGAGCCAGAGCCGAGCCUUCUUUUGGUUAGACAAAGGGUUGGGCUCAAUGUCAGCCUUUAAGGCAAUAAAACAGGAACAACCGCGCACCGGUCGGGCCAGGGCUCGGGCUCGAGCUCGAGGUCGGGGCAUAAAAAAUAAGCCAGAAACAAACAAAAAACACACAAUGACUAUGUACACACGUGUAUGCGUGUGUGUGCCUGCCAGGGCUAGUUUAAAUCUACGCAUUAUGGGCGCACAGUGGGCCAUUGACAAUUUGCGGCCAGCGAGCAGAGCGAUCUCUUCACAGAGUCACCGUCAGAGCCACCUCGUCUGGCCGCUUCGGCAGCUAUUUGCUUUUGCUUUCUUUUCGCUUUACGACGCAGCCAGGCUUGGAAGUGCUCUGUGUGUGGUGUGUGCUGUGUGCCUCUGCCCGUCACAGUUCGAAGUUUUACGGUCUACGAGAGUUGGCCCUAAAAAGUGAGAGUCAUUAAAAAUGUUUACUGCUUCUCAAGGUCGUCGCAGGGAAUUUUAUGUUGCUUUUUAUGACGUAGUUGUCACCGAGCUGCUGCUGCUGCUGCUGCUGCUGAGUCUACGGCUCUCUCCUCAUUGCCAGGGCCAUCGCCAUCGUCGUCAGCCCCUCCAUCUUCAUCGUCAUCGACUGACCCAAUUUGCCUGGGAGUUACCUUGGCAAUUGUAUCAAUCAUUUUAUUGCUGGCUCAUUUGAAUCUCAGAAUUGAGUUCAGCGACCCCAUUGCUGGGAGGAGCGUUGUUGUAUACUGAUAUUAAAAGAGAAAUAUAAAAAAAUCUAACAUUAAUCCGCGAAUAAUGUAAAGUUGUCUGAUCCUUUUCAUCAAGAGUUUAAUAAAAGCACGUCCGGAUGAAAAAUCAGCGCCCCCUCUUAAUAUUUAAUAUUUUCGGUUGGCUUCCAAGCGAAACAUCAAGAUAUCGCUGCAGCGCACAUUUGAUGCCUUAUGAGACUUUUCCCCGACUUGGCUUAUUUGCGGAUUUCGAGCACGCCUCGCCAGCCAGCAGAAAUGUCGGGCAGGGGCGAGACUCCAAGUGAGAAUGGGGCAAAAUGGCAGAAAUGCUUAGUGCCAAGUGCCGAAACUAAAUCCAAUAACUAUAUGCUGAAACAUUCAUGAGCGCAAAUUGAACACGUUCCUGCGUCUAGCUGCGAGCGCCAAAAUCUUGGCUCUGCUUCGAUACAGCUUCGAUUUUGUUUCGGUUCGGGCGAAUUACGUCCAAUGGAGCUUGCUGAUGGGGUGGACCGGUCCGUGGUGGUCAAGCGGGGCCAACGCACUCAUCGGCAGGCAGCAUGCCGAGCAGCUUGGUCUUGGACUGCAUCAAAGUGAAUUAUCCACACCUUCUGGCGAGAGCGACCAUUUUGAUUAGAAGUAUUUCUCGCAGACGUCUCUCAGCAGUUUACAAAAACGGCCAAGAGUAGGAGGUGGGGCGUGCACAGCGCAGAAUAGUGAAAAAUUCCUUUGGCCAAUUGCACGUUUCAGCUGGGAGCGGAACGGGUCGCAUUCUGAGUUCCCUCACACUUAUUUGCAAUUGAGAAUAAUUGAAUCGAGAAAUUGGUUCGCUCCACGAAAGGAGUACACAGCUCAGCUUGCAGCUCGAAUCCGUUAUUCCAUCCAUCGCACAAAAGUUGUUUGAGAAAUUCAAUUGGAUUUGGAAAAGCCAAAUCAAGCAGCUGAACAAUGAGGGGGAGAAUGAACUAUAACCAACGUUCGUUUUGUGCCUGACCAUUGGCUAAAUUGUCAAGUUAUAUUGUGUACAUAUUUCGUAUGUGUAUGUGUAUUAUAUUUUACGAGUAAAGUUUGAACUAUUUUGUAGUUUUAUAGACACAAUUCAUCAACUACAAUAAGCGCGGAAACUUAGAUCUAAAUUUUGAAAGAUAAUAGCAGCAAUUUAUGUUUAUUUUAUUUUAUUUUGAACAAAAACAUAUUCAUAUAUUUUAUUCUCAAUGAAUUCUAAUUGUUAAAUUAUUCAUAUUUUAUUUAUUGACGCAAACAUUUGAAUUCAGUUUGGGCAAACAGCCCUAAACCCCUGCCCACACCACCCCCACCCAAACAUGUGCACAGAAAUGAGAGUUUAAGAGAGUUCUCGUGGCAAAAGAGAGCUUUUGGCGCUCUCUUCGGUCGCUUUUCUCGCGUGGCGCUCACACAGGGUGCCUCGUGUUCAGAAAUUGAAGCUGCGGUUUGGUCGCUUUGGUCGCUCCAGCUAAAAUGAUGUUGGUAAAUAAAUCAAUUGAGAAUUAAUUUGAAUACUAAAUUGUGUCCAGCUGCAAGGUGAAUCGCGCAUAUCGAAUACUCUAAUUAAGCCAUCUCUCCUUUCGACUUUGGGUGCCAUUUCGCCAUUCGAAUGGAUAACAAAUCAGUCGGUGGCUCAGCCAGUGGCCGCUUGCGAAAUCGCGACAGGCCAUAAAGUUGGCAAGCGAUGAGUUUAUUAGCCGACAACUGACGUCCCACCAGCACAGUUCCCGCCCCGCUGCGGUCUUCGAUUGGGAUUGCAUCGUAAAUAACCGCUCGCUGGGGCUGGUGAGCCGGGGUCCCCCGGCCAGUUCCCCUCAUCUCAGCCACAGCGUGCACGCAUCCAUCGAUGGCGAUGAUGACGAUUAUGUGGAUGGAGCAAUGUAGAUGUCCUUGAUGAGGAAGAUUGUCGAUUAUGGCCCCCCAACCGAAAUUUUGCAUGCAGCAGCAGCUCUCAGGUUGGCAAGGAGCAGGGCCGGGCCGGGCCAGGAUCCGGCAGGAACUAAUGGAAGAAUUUCGCGAUGUCACGAGCAUGAGUUAUGGUUAAGUGCACUUUUCGGGCUGCCUUGUCCCAAAACCACCGAACACCCACCAGCACCCCCGCUCUACCCCCUCCUCCGUUCGUUUCCCCGCCCGAUGACGCUAUGUUUGUGUCUAAAUGCAAAUUUUGUGUAAUGAACAUCGAGCACAUGGAGUGGCAUGGGAGGGUCCAUUAUACCCUUACCUCAAGGCAAAGAGUUUGUUUGCUUAUGCCAGGUUUGGCAUUACAAGUAAAAAAUGUAAAUACAUUCAUUCACACAUAUAUUUACAUACAUAUGUACAUACAUUACAUUAGAACAUAUAGUAAUAUGUACUUUACAUAUUCUCCACAAAAGGAACAGAGAAAGAGCAUCCGAGCUUCGUCCUUGAUUACUCUCAGGUAGCUGUUGUUUUUGUGCUGGCUAAAACUUUUGCCGCUGCCUGACUAUUAGCUAAUGCCGGAUCCGCGGUUCGUGACGUGACGUGCCCUCGAACCCAACCCCAACUCCAACUCCAGCCUCAGCGCUAAGCCCAUCCCCAACCGCAGCCCAGUCCCGCCCUGUUGCUGCUGAUGCGCUCGGUAAAGUUUGUGAAGAAAAUUUGAAUAUCGCUUGGCUUAUUCCGCGUUCGCCCAACCACCACCGAUGGCGGAAGGCAGAUGAAUCCAACAUGAGUCUGCCGCUAUCUGUGUGCUUGUGUGCAUGUGUUUGUGUGUGCGAGCAUGGGGGAAGUUUAAUGGUGGUGGAAAUGGAGUUGCAACCACCACCUCGAACUGAGGAUAGCUCACGUUGCCGUUAUUUGCACUGUGCCCGCAGCCCAGAACUCUUUCCACACACGAAGGCACAUCCACAGCCAGGCAAAGUCCUUGCUGCGCCAUUUGUUCAAAUUUCGGGCGAUGAGGAGCUGCCUCCGUCUGUUAUUAAUUUGGCUGCCAUGCCCCUCCAUCCACAUCCACAUCCUCCCGCUCCACCUUCGAUCUCUCCGGGUCCUGCCUGUCUGCGAAAACUCCGCCCGGGGCCAUUUGGCGUCAAUUGCGUCUCGGUCUCGGUCUCGGUAUUUUGCUUUGUCCCUGGCCCUGGAUGCGUUUCAUUAAUUAACUGAAAUACUCUCGACGAGCUGUGCACGUUACAACAAUGAAUUAUUUAUAUAAAAUUUGUCUGGCAUUUUUCUAAGCUUUACUCAAAUCUUUUCUAACCUCUGGGACUAGCCGUGUCUGCUCUCACAUACUAUUUGUUGCUGCUGCUGCCAGUCGCAAAUUUGUUGCCAUUUCACCCAUUUUCUCCACUGUCUAAGCUGGGUCUGGCCCUGAGGUGAAAUGAAGUGCAUUACUUGUAGCAUUAUUGGCGAGAUUUUUUUUGCAGAUAGCAGAUGCCAGACACACACAGUCGGGCCCUUAACUUGGUUUGCAAUUAAAGCAUGGCAUGGCGAAUUCCCCUUACUUUCUCAGAGAAUUUUGUAUGGCACAGUACGAGUAGCGUAGAAAUAUUUAUCUGUGUACUGAUGUCCAUUUUAAAUAAAUGUAUCUAAUCUGAGUUUUCCUGCGUGCCAAGACAGUGGAGGUUUCAUAACAUAUUUUCCACUUUGCUUUACACAGCGUUUUUCUACUCACCGACCGGAACUUAAUUGGCGAAUUCCCCUUACUUUCUCAGAGAAUUUUGUAUGUACAAGUAGCGUAGAAAUAUUUAUAUGUGUGCUGAUGUCCAUUUUAAAUAAAUGUAUCUAAUCUGAGUUUUCUUGCGUGCCAAGACAGUGGAGGUUUCAUAACUUAUUUUCCACAUUGCUCUACACAGAGUCUUUCCACUCACCGACCGGAGCUUAAUUAAAUUACACGAAUAUUUUUCCUUCCCCAAGCAGACGGGGAAUCCAGUGACGUAGCUCUUCAUUUUACAUUUUUUUGCAGACAGCUUGGCUACCGGGCAGACUUCAAAUCUCAGCCAGAACUAAUUUUAUAUUUUUUCCUUCCUUCUUUCGGGUAUUUUUACUUGCAUUUUUUCUGGGGGAAUUAUAACAUUACGUUUAUGUCUAUGCAAAAGGAUUUCGGUUGGUUGCCCUGCCUGGCCAUGAGGGGUGGGCCUUGUCUAGAUAUCUUUGUUUAAUACAUUUUUAUAGUCAGAAACCAGCUGCAUUUGCAUGAAAUUAUCUUAUUUCCAAACGAAAAUAAUUAAACAAACAUUAUGCAAUGGCUUGCUUUUCAUUUAUUCAUGAGGAAUAUGCAAAAGAGUCACUUUCUUUUGUGGAAAUAGUCUGGAAAUUAUAUACAUUUGACUGUUUAUGUCGCAAAUGCGGAAAGUACAAGCAAUUCUGCAUACUUUAACUCAGGCUUAUGCUCCAUUUGUUAAUAUUUAAAUUAAAUUUACAAAUAAACUGAGAAGUUAAACAUAGAAUACAUUUCUUGGAUCCAUUGGAUAACUUUUACCAUAAUUCGAAUUACACUUGAUCUCGUAGUUACCCUGUUAUUAAUUUCAUUCAAACAUUCUUCCGCCCGUCAGAUGUAUUUCCAAAUUUUGGCUACUUAACCCGAGCAUAUUUGCUGUGCUUCUGGAGGUAAGGAAAACAAUAAGCGUGGAAACCAUGAAUUUUAUUUAGUUCGCUUAUGAAAAUGGCCAACAAUCAGACAGAAACGAUAACAUAAGAGGGCAGUGCUGUUGUUCCCUUACAUAUGUAUAUGUACAUACAUAUAUGUAUACUCAUACAAAACAAUAAAAUAAAAUACACCCCAUCAAUAUAAACGACAGUAACAGCAGCACCACACACAUGAAUCACGUCCUGAGACGUAGUCGCCGUCAAAGUCGCUUCGGAGCAGGUUCUCCUCUCCCGAUAGGGAACAAGAGCAAAACAACCUUUGUAGAUAUCUCUGUAGAUAUGUAUGUACAUACAGACACAUGCGUAUUCGAGUGGGAAACACAUGAAAAAGUCUGUACAAAUACGAGUAAUGCAGCCAUUUUGGAUAACAAUGGCAGCCAACAAAGAACAAAACAACGGGGCCAAGAGAAGCAACAAAAUAAAAGAAGGAACAACAGAAUGAGCAGCACAAAUGUUGGAAAAGGUGGAAUCGGAAUUCGAUUCAACCGUUCAGUGACUCCUCGGAGUCGCCUUCUGCCAUCGCUCCCCGACCCGCGCAGCUUUGCGACAUUUAUCAAAGUCCCCAAAUGCGAACAAUGCCAGAAACAACAACAAAGCGGGGAAAAAUAAAAGAAAACACAAAAAUGUCACAUUCGAAUUGAAUUUAAAUGAGUUUUGUGCCCGACGAGCCCAGGGGCGUACGCCCAGAAACGGAUAGAGGCAGAGGGACAGCUAUUGGGACUGGGACCGGGACCCGAUCCAAGCCGAACCACAAUUCGAUAAAAUUCCCAGAGAUUAUGCCGUCAGGGCAGAAGGCAAAGCUCCAUGGCCAUUAGUCUGAGGCCUUUCUCCCAUUUCUUGUUUGUUCUCCGGAUCGUUCCUCGACUGUUACAGUCACAGUGGGCACAAAUCAAUUUAAUGCCCUGUCCCCAGUUUAAACAAAAGAAAUCAAGUUACUCGUAUUGUCUGCUAACCUGCACUUAACAUUUCUUGGACGAUAAGUGACUGGACAGUGGACUGAUGCCUAACUCAACUCAAAGCAUUCGCUGCAUGCAAAUAUCAGCAAAAAAGCAUGUAUUUAGUUCGGCAUAAAUGGAGUUUCAUCAGAUAUUUGUCUUUGCUUUUGUGCUAAUCUCCCAUGGUGCAUCGGUGCUUUUGUGCGCUGGAGCUGCGCGGUGAGCAUCAUUAGCAUUUACACUUUGCCGCCAAUCGAUCGACGCGAUCAAGUUGCUCCAACUGGAAUUGGGAUUGGUAUUGGUAUCGGAAUAUAUGUUGACGGCAUGGGCCUGGGACUGACUGCAGGCCGUACGAUCGUUUUAAUUUAGUCCAAUCAAAGCCAAUAGAAUUAAUUACGGAACUAAGACAAGAAUGUGGACGUCGCAAUUAGUUUUCUUUUCUGGUCCAUAAACAAUGUGGCACACAGGCAGACACUGUGGACGGAACGGAUGAGGGGAUUGAGGCAAAAAUCUGGCAAGUAGGUCACGGACAUGAGGACAGACGGACACGACCGGCCGAGGAAUGGGGACCGAGGGCGCUCCGCUUCGUUCCGAUGAGUUCCAAGAGUGACACAUCGCCAUGCACAUUACAGCAGAGAUAUAAAUAAACACGCACUGCUCUCGGAGGCUGUCCCUGCCGCCUCUCUGUUAUCUCUCUCUCUCUCUCUUGGCGCUGUGUGGGUGAGCCUGAGGGUGUGGUGUGGGCAACUCAUUUGGGGAGCCCGCAUGCCGAACUGUGUAUGUAUCUUAAUGCCUUGUGCGGAUGUGACUUCGCUUAUGGAAUCCAUACACAAAUGGCCACAUUCAACUUCCUUAUAAUGGGAAAUCUCCUCUGCCCCGGGCAGGACAACGGGUGGUCCGAUGAUGCUGUUUGCGAUUUCCAAGUGGGACAGCAGAUACAGAUUCCACUGCUCCGCUGGGACCUAUACAAACAUACGGUGGAUAACUUGUGAACACACUCAUACUACAUACAAUGUAUACAUAUUAUGUACAUAUGUAUGUAUGUAUGCAUGGGCAUGUACACACUCGUGUUUCAUUUGCAAUAUUCAUCACAGCCAUUAAUUAGCCUGUUGUCUUCUUCAUCCAGUCGAUAAGCGUAUGCCACAUUCGUAAAUAAAUUUGACAUUCUAUUCAUAGUACAAGUCUCGUUCUGUUUCAACAAAAUUCAAAUUUAUGGCGUCACAUGUUAGCGUUCCCCUGAGAAAACACUCAGCGUCACUUGGCUUGUUUGUUUUCUAAGUAGUUAAAAUAUACUAUGGUCAACGGUUUCGUUCUAUUUAGCUCAAAAGCUGACAUCGCACACAUGAGAUUGAGGCUCGUGCCUCUGUGUUUUGCAUUGAUGGCACCAGCUUCAAAGUGGAGGCAGCCACUCCCACACCAUCCUCAAUGUGUUAAUGGUGGCCGCAUUGUAUUCUCCCGUUCUCCCAGUAGUGUCCGCGACAAGUGGGUAAACAGAAAAGUGCGGUGGCAACACCUAAACUGAGUUAAUGGGGGCAUUUAUUGCCAAAUUGCUGUAAUAAACAAUUUGUUGAGCAUUUAACGAAUUUUACUACCGCCAACAAGAGCUGCCAGCGCAGCGGUUGAGACGGUUGGGACAGGGCAGGGCACGGCAGGAGCGGGCCAAAUGCGAGAGUGAGCCCAUAAAAAUGUUUAUGAUGGAUUAUGCUCCCUCAAUCCCCCACUCGCAAUGGCGGCUGCCCUCCGGCUCGACUCUCAUCAUUCACUUAACGUUUUACGACACUUUCCAUGUGGGACACGUUGAGGCAGGUUGCGGGCGCGCGCGGCUCUUGACUCUCGGCUCUCCGGAGACGUGGUCAAUGAAGCAGCCUCAUUCAAUGUCAAGGUGAAAAGUGUAUCACAUAAAUCGGCCAUAAAGGUGACGCAGAUUGAUUUAGACAGCGAGGAGAGCACGGCUGUGGCUGUGGGCCGCGAACGCACUGACAAUACUAACAAUUCUGGUGAGACUGUGGGAGCAGUCAAGAGAUAUUAAAAUUUUACGGUCAGCAGCAGACGGCAGCCAGACAGACAGACACCUAGACACACUUUCGCACACACAACACACCGCUUGCCUCACACACACUCGUGCGACAGUAAAAUAAAGCAUUAUUAUGGCAACCAUUAAACGAAGGCAGACGACGGCUCCACUCCAAGUCAAGUGCCGCUCAAGAUGUCGGCGGAAGCUGAGCGGUGGCCUUGGAUCUGGGACAGGGUCUGGGACCGUGUUAGGUCGGGUACGGGUGCGGGUGUGGGGGCUUGUCAUCCAUCUCCCAUAAAAGCGCGCGACUAACACGCGAGUCAAGUACUGAGACCAGACCCCCACCUCUCAUCUCCCAUCACCAUGUAGCCCGGAAAAGAGCCACGACUUGCGGCUGCGUUUUAUGAAUGAAAAUGCCUCUUUUCUCGUCUUCCUUUUUGUUGCUCUUUAAGCGGCCUUUUAUUGGCCUAAUGUCGCAUUAUGCACCACAUCAGCAGUGAGGGAACCACUCGAAAGGCGACUUCAAACGCUGUUUGUCUCAAGAAGUCAAGUGCUUAAAAUUACAGCUAAAUGCUAGCUUCAAGUGAGAGCUUGUGGGUGCAGGAAUCAAUAAAUCAUUGGAAUAUAAUUCUCUGAAAUUCAGGCUGAUUGGAUUUCUAUAAAAUUCAUCUACUUCUCUUUCUAUCAGUUUGUUGUGCUCCAACAAUUGAAUAUUCCACUUACGAUUUCGUGGUGUGGACGACAUUUCACACCUUUAAAUGCCUCGAAGCUGUAUCACACCGUAUUCCGCAGUGAGUGCUGCCGGCGACCAAUGACAUGGCAGACACUCAUCAGCCGGCUGUGGGGCUCAAGCCCAGCACAUCAUUGCUGCCAUGUUUGGGCCCCUUUGUCUGCUGGCACCGCGCACAGCUGGCAACUAAUCAAAUGCCAAAACACGUUCUCGGCAACCGCUUAUCAUGGGCAGGCCCAGACGGAGACGGGGGGGGGGGGCUAAAUUAAUUUGCAUAUUACCAACCACUGACAGACUGUCAACGGCAAAGGCAACGGCAUCGGCAGUGGACUGGCUACGCUGGGCAUGGCGAUGGCGACGUCAACCUGCGAGUCGGAUAUCAGGGGCAUUUGUAUAAAUAUGAUUGAUUUAUUAGACAAUUUCGACAGCAUUAUGCGAACGUGUCACGCAUAUCUGGAAUUGGGUUUUGUUCUCCACACGGCAUAGCUCUUUGUUUGGGCCAGUGACCAGCUGGCAGCAGCCAGAAGUCUUGAAUAGAAUCCGAGAUUUCUUAUCUACAAAAUCCUUAACUUUCAGAGCUCAGCUCCAAAACUUUCGAGGCUCAUCUGCAGUUGUCCAAAUUUGCAUUCUCAGCUCUGCUCUACGCUUGCACGUUUCGAAAGGCCAUUAGAGAUUGCAUUCUGCCAAGUUUUGACUGCAGUAUAAUUCUCGUAAACGAGAAUCCAGAGCCAACAAAAAUAGACAAAGAACCCGACUAGCCAGCGACUGCGCAUGCUCGUGUAUGGCGACGCCGACGUCGACGCUACGAUGAAGCUGCAGAUAAAAUUCACCAAUACGCACACACAUUCCCAGGGGCGGCCAUUAUUAUGGCCGCCUUAUUAUCACUUCGUGUGCGAGUGAGACGCGGAACUGCUGCUGAUUGGCUGACGAAAUGAUCCCUUUCUAAGGCACACAGCAGCGACCUCUGGUGGGGGAUCUGGCAAGCAGCAGCUGCGAAUGAACUCCGGCAGAGGGCAUUUUUGGGAACAAUUUUGUGUCUGAAAUAUGUUCAAGUGUCAUGACGGGCAGUGCCGUGUCCCGUUAGUGCAAUAAUCUACAUUCCUGAUCUGCUGCAAAAUCCGAAUCGCUUAAGACUAAAAACUAGUAUUUAUUUUUUAAUCAACAAAGGAAAGAAAAUCAAGAGUAAGAACUGUCAUAUCUUGAGUCUGAUGCGUCGUCAGGUGUCGCCACUGUGAAAUGUAGACGAGAUGUAAAUUUGAUGUAGCAAACAUAUGAAAUGAAAAACAAGGAACAAACGAAAUCGUUGCUUUGCAGACAACAUUUUGCUCAAUUUCGAAAAAGCAAGCCGAAAGUAAAGCUUGUUGUUCUUAUGUAAAUGGGCGCGGAGCUUAUUCUGCACAUGUAACGGAGCCGCAGGGCAGGCCUUGGCCAUGUACAUAGACGGGGAUACAUGGUUGGGCCUCGGCAGGCAACAUCAACAUCCCUCGAUGGCAUGCCGGCGAGAUAAAAAUCAAUAUAAAUAUAUAAAGGGCGAGCAGGCGCUCUUCUAUAUCUAUGUCUUUAUGUAUGUACCUUGCGGGGAAUACAUACAAUAUUUGCGCACACUUAAUGAGAAAAUUUAUGCGUUUUGCAAAGGAUUAUGGCGCAGAAAAUUUCAUUAAUUUCAUUUAAUAUUCGCAAUAAAACGGGAAGCCCAGCCAAUUUGCAUACGAACUGCCUUGAGAAGACAGCAAACUUUAAAUCAAUUGAAGCCAUUUCUUACAUUUACAGCACUCAAGCUGCCACGCCCUGAUCUCGAUAUAUAUGUAUGUAAAUAUGUACCAAAACUGGCAGAGACUUCACACAGUGUGUAUUUAUAUUUUAUACAUUUUAAUCGAUCCAUCGAACAGGAUAUUAAUUUCAAAUUUCGAUAUAAACUUCACACUUUACGAUGAUUCAAUGGGGCAGACGCGGGGGGCCUUGGGUUCCGCCAAGUGCCGCUUAAUGACCCCGCCCCGACUUAUCGCGAACCUGUUCGCAGAGCACUCUGCUAAAGGACAACUUUGCAUUCGCCAUUCGUGGUUAUCUUCGAACAUUUACAUAUGUAUUGUACUUACGUACAUACAAACUGCUUGACUCAGAUCGUAUAUUGAAUAUUUAUACUUAUAAUUUCAUGCUGAAGCUGUGCAAAUUGGCCAAUUCAAUUCCAUACACCCUCACGAAACUGCCUCUGUCAAAAUCUGAAAAAUGUUCAAUUAGCGGCUAUAACUUGUACUUUAACCAGUAAAAUGGUGUCGCUAAAAUUAUCAAUUUAUUUUUUUAUUUUUGGGUAGUGGCAUUGGAAAUGCGAAAUAAACUCACGGAACCUGCGUCAUAUUUAUUUCGAGUGCAACGAAGCCCAUAUUAAAACCACCAAUAUUAAUUUGUAAAUAAUCAUUAUAAAGCGUUUAAAAAAUGUUUUGGACUGCAAAAUAUUACAUUAUGUAGCUAUGUUUAUAGAUUGUUUAUUAAAAUAAUCUUGAAGAAAAAAUGUCAAAUUUAGAAUGAAUAAAAAGUAUUUUUUAUCAACUCAAUUCUUGCUGAACCUAAGAUUAAGUGAACACUCAAACUUUAAUCCGAUUCCAAAGAGAAUUCUAUGCAUAGUCAAUCUCUGGUUAUGGACUGAAUUUUGAAAUUGUCUACUUAAAGCACAAUAACCAGACUGAUGACAAAGGAAAACUUUCAAGUUGUUUAGAGUUUUGAGUUUAACGACUUUUCUAUUGGCCAAAGGGAUUCUCUUGGAGCUUCUGAGCAAUGUUUUAUUUGUGUCAGUCAACAAAACUCACAAACUCGAGUAGAAGAAAACAUCGUAAAUGUUUUUCCCACAGAUUAAAAUGUAAUAAAACAUGGAUACUUAUUUCGCUUCCUUGCGGAAACUAUUUUCAUAUUCAAAUAGUUGAAUCUUUGGGAGACCCGAAUAUAAAAAUAUUUGUAUCUGCUGAGAUUCGAUUUGCCGUCGCAAUUUACUAACUUGCUGUAUAAGAUUUGUGAGGGAGGAGAGCAGCGCAGAGCCAGAGCCAGAGGCAGAGGCAGAUAACGAAAAGAUUUCCAAGUAAUUGAAUGCGUUCAGAAUUUUAAUUGUCUGGGGCCACUUUUGCAUCUCAAGAAUGGAAACAGACAUUUUGUCUGCUGCGGGGCUUCAAUUAAAACAUUUCAAAAAAUCUCGAGGCAUAUUUUCAUGGCCUGUCGAAGAAACGCAUUAAAAUGGGCGACGCAAUGCGAUGCGAGGCGAUGAGAUGGGUUGGGUUGGGGCCUCCUCCGGCCUCCGGCUUUGCCUCGCACUUGACUCUCGUUAUAAGUACAUCUGAGAGUCAAAGUCGAACCGAUCCGAUCCGAUCUGAUGUGGGACUCGCUGCCCCCACUCUUUGGCACUCUUUCCCCUGGACACCCAUUGCAGAGAUGUGGCCGCCAUUGAAAUUCAAGACGCAAACUUGCUGCAUUUAUCGGGCUCGACUCAUGCUCCAACUCAAACUCCUCCUCCUGCUUCUCGAACUCCUUACAAGAACACUCGACUCGUUGAUAUUCCCGGCAUCGGAAUAGGCAUAAACAUGCCACUCGUAUAGCACCAUUUUUCAUUUCAUUUCGUUUCAAAAUCGCUGUGUGUCCGCCCUUUCCCUGCCCAAGGCAAGUACUUCAGAAUGAGCGAUGUCUCUGAUCUAAUUGCAAUAUGGAUGCCAAAACAGGCCGACUCCCUUGACACUUGAGACUCAAGUGGUAUGCUCAUCCCCAUCCCCGUUCCCAGACACACAUACCACAUAGACAUAGACGUAGACAUGGUCACAAAUUCGAUGGAAAACUUCUUUUUCAAUAUUUUCAAAUACAUUUACUUGUGGCACAUUGUUGUUGUUGCUGGUCAGGUCUCUUUUGUGGUGUCUGAGUCUCCCAUUUUCAUAUUUCCAGGCCGUAUUUUACUGAAUUCCAGACUGACAGCUACAAGCAACGACCGACGCCCCUGCCCCUGACCCUAACUCGUGUCUUAUCUCGAACACAAAUUUAAAAUAAAUAAAUAAUUUACUUUGUUUGGGGGUUUGUCUUUUGCUUUUGUUAUAUUCCCCAUUUGGAAUCUGGUAAAUGUUUAUACCAUCCGAAAACCCAACUCCCCAUCCAUUGCCAUCACCGUCUCAAUCGUCUCAAUCGUCUCAAUCGUAUCUGUGGCACAAUUUUUACGAUCCUGAAUUUAACACAUGUGCCGUUAGCGCUCAUUCCCCAUCUCUGGGGAGUUGCAUUGGGAAAUUUAUGAAGCGGUUAAGUUUUUUCGUCUCUCGUCCAGUGCAUUGAAUUUUAAUAUUUCUCUUGCCACUUUGGGCACUGGGCAUGGGAAGUCGCAUCGAAUGCAUUUCGGUUAUCGCUCAGCCACUCCGAACAGUCGGUAAAUCAAUCAAGGAACUUGCCCCCUUCCCAAACCCAAUGCCAGCGAGGAAAAUGGAGGAUCCCCGAUCUCUUGGGCUCGACAUUUCAAAGAUAUUUUGUAUGUCAAGCAGGUUAUGCUCGUUUAAUAAAAAGGUAGACUGAAAACGAUCAAAGCAAUUGUGUAUAACUCCACAAGUUGCGAGUGUCAAAAUAAACUUAAAAUGUAAAUGCAUUUAGAGUGAAUAAUUAUUAAUUUUCGGUACACCUUUACAAGCAAUUUCUUCAGUGGAGAACGAACAGAAGUAUUUCCCAUUUAAUCCUUUCACAACCUUCACGGCUGCUGUUAUUAUUCGGCGUAGUUGUUUUUUCCGGAUGAAUGGCCAAGGGUAAACUUCCAAAAUUGUACCACGUAGUAGUGUGUUGGAUGUUUCGAUAGAGUUUGGGUUUUUUUUUUAUCCAGCUGCCAUUCCAUCUCAGUGUUUACCCCGGGAGCAAGGACACGCCCUCGAACGUAAAAGGGCGAGCACUUUCAAUUGAAGGCAUUUCAAAGCAAAUGGCAUCCUGCGAUUAAGUGGAAUGAAAAUAAAGCGCAUUUCAUAAAUAGCUAAGGAGCAAGAUGGGCGGCAUCACAGUGGUUGUGGCGGUAUCCUUUUGUUGCGGUUUAUCUGAUGGUGGAAGAAGGAACGAAAGGGCAAGAAGGCGCUGCCCGAUUUCCAUGGGAGCAACAGCAAAUGUUGUCAUUACAUGGAUUAAACGAAACAUUUACAUGCCAAAAGAAAGCCACCCCAGACGCGACCACAUCCCUCCGCCCUUGUGGUGCCACCAGGUGAGUGGGGUGGCGGUUCCAUGCCACAUUCAACAUGGCAGCGUUGGUGGAAGGGUGGCAGCCGAAUGGCAACCGCUUGCUUUUGGCUGCCAACUCUCACUUUUGCGUUGCAAGAAUUUUGAUUUACGGCUUCCUCUUACCUCUUCCUUCACCGUUCUGAGCCAGGGAAUCGCAACAAUUGUCAGUCCCUGCAACCCUUUGUGAGGACGCGUCGCCUGCAACCUGACGACGGCGACGGAGACUGAAACGGAGUCGGAGACAGUUCCAUUGAAAUGUCAAAUAAACCGCGCAGAAGGGAUCGAGACUGAGAGACGGAGACAAAGGGCCUCAGCUGCCUGUUUGGCAGCAUUUUUAAAUCCAUUUAUGCGGCAAAUCAUAAAAAAUAAUUCAAGAAUAUACGCCUUUUCUCCAUUUUUUCUCUUGGUGCAGCACCGACAACACCGUGCAAAUGUUGUAUGUUUUGCUACAACAAAUUUUACGCAUCGCAAUCUGCUGAAAGAGUCGCGGGGGGUCAGCAAGCCACAGGUCGCAACCCGUUCGCGUCACCUGAUGCACACGGCAGGUAAAUCCUUCACGGAAAACUCUCUCUUCCUCUGUCUUGAUCCGUAGGUAGCGAGUGCCGUUGAGCAAAUUGGCAUCCUGCAGGGACUGGGUGGCAAACUUAAUUCGAUUGACAAUCCAUUCCGCGUAAUUAAAAGUACGGGAAGAGCGACAACAACAGCGACCAUGUCGGAGGAAUGGGCUACCAAUUUGGCUCAAAUGAAACCCACCCACGGGCAAUUACUGGGCUGCUGGCGGACCCUUCCUCCUCUGCAAUUACAUUACGCCCAUCCUGCUGGCUCCCGCUUGCAUGAUGAUUGCCAUUACUAUCAAGGGUUUCGGCUUGAGUUUGUGGCCCAAUCAACGGCACAUCCAUCUGCAUAUGGGCAUCCGCCCAGCCUGUGGCGGUAAAUUGAUCAAUUGGGUAAAAUUAAGGAGGCACUUUGGUGCUCUGUCGUUGCCUCUCCCCCACCCUCACCAUCACCAUCACCCCCUUCCACGUCCAUGUUUUUGUGGAGUUUCAUGUCAACGUGCCGUGGAGCUCAUCAAUAAGUAAGCCAAAGACUGGCACAUGGACAGGGACAUGACUUCAGUUAACUAGAGUCAAGUCGAGUCAACUUGAGUGGCCUGCGACAUAAGUUGGAUGAUUAAAUGUAAUAAGUCCUCCUCCCGAUGGGAUGACCAAAGCGGGAGUAAACUUUCUCAAUUAUUUCAGAUACUCGUAUACAAGCCAUUAUCUAUUGGUUUCCCACUUUUGCUGGAUAUUCAAGAGAUCAAUUAUAAGCAGUAAUCAAGAUCAAUCCAUCCGAGAGAUGUGUAAAUAUAUUAAAACGUUUAUUAUUAUUAUCGAACAUAUUAAAAUAUUUUGCAAAUCAAAUGCCACAAGUCUCUCAAUGCGUGAUGCCAUGAUAAUGAUGAUUUUCCAUCAAAUGGGAUUCUUAAAGCUGGUUUUCGUCACUGAUUUCUCGCCCUGGCCCCAUCUGUUUACUGUGUGAAAUGGAUUCCCUGAGAUAGUGCCCCCCAAGUGCUGCUCCUCGUGCUCAUCCUUCCUCGUCGGAAUAGUUUCGUCGUUUUGCUAUCGUUCGACAUCAUUGCUGUUGUACCAUCAUCGUAAAUUACACGAAAAGUAUCUAUCUUUAGUUGGAAAUGUUGCAAUUUUAUUAAAAUUCCAAAAACCCACCCGACGGCAAGCACUCUCCGCCCCACCCUCUCCCAGCACCCAUGAAUAUAUGUAUGUAGUUCCACUUAGACUCCGAGUCAGACUCGUCUCUAACUUGGACAAGGACGAAGGACAACCAGGCAACCACACCCUCCUCCCAAAGCCAACGCCAGUGCCAACGCCAUAUUGCAGAAAUUGUGUGGGCCACCAUAGUUCCCCCAGUGCCAGCCCGGGCUGUCGUUGCUUUUAUAUAAACAUGAGGCAAGAUUAGAUACAAAUUACACGCCAGCUUCCCAAGGUGGGCAACGCCCCUGUCCAGGUACUCGUUCUCAUUCCGUGUCUGGCAAUUUGCUCACCUUGCUGAUGCUGAUGCUGCUGCUGCUGCUCCAUCUGCUGUCGUGUAUCCAUAAGUUACAAACGCAAAGUAUCUUUGGACCGACAGGAGCAGCAGCAACAACAACUUCAAUAACAGGAAAAACUUUUUCCGUACUCGUUGGGAGCGGGGCAGGGUAAAUGAAACAGCAGGCAAUGGCAAAGGCAAAGGCAACGGCAACAGCAAAUGGCGCUGGGCAUCCCUAUUUCCCGCUCCCGAGCAUUUAGUCUAUUUUAUUAUUUAUUUAUUUCAUAUAUUCAGCAGCGGGCGCGAUUAUAAAAUGCAAAAAGAAGGAACAAAUAUGGAAAACUAUGUUGGGGUCUCAGGAGAGGCAUUGACUCCGCUGCUCCCCAUCUCGGCAGCUUCCUAGAAGUAAUUUUUGUCUGCCAAACUCAAACUUUACUUAUUUUCGCAGCAAAAAGAAAGUUUGUCCUUUUUCCGUUCGUGAUUUGAUGCGGGGGGUGGGAGGCAGGGAGACCUAGCCGGUGAUGGGGAGGGAAAAUAAAAGCAAUGUCAGCCGGAAAGUUCUCCAAAGGGUCCACGGUACACGGUAGAGGGUCCUCCUGAGUGCGGGGGCGGAUGUCGCUGCGGUUGUGUGUUUGCUCGGAUGACAAGGGCAGGCUGAGCCUCAUUCAGUGGCACGUUUGCAAAAUGGCCCGAUGCGUGUCUGGAAUACAUUUUCAUGCUUGCCAAAAAAAAUGGAGAAACACCCAAACCCAGGCACAACUUUUGGCAUGCUCUCCCACACAUGCCCAUUCUGUGCCACUCGUGCCACUCCCACCAGUCCCAGUCCUGGACUCAGUCCCCCUUGGUGCAUUUGUACAUAUUGUUGGUUGUAUUUCAACGUCAAUUUAUGGGAAAUUGUUUGCCAAGUAACACGAAAAGCGGCAUUUUGUGUUUUCUAAAAUUUAAUGUGGCUCUUCUCUUACUCCGCCGCUCGAAGGGCCGGUGGAUGGAGGGGAGUGCGUGUGCUUAUGCCACAGAAUUUUAAAUUGGCAAACAGGAGCACUCACACUCACAAUCACACACUCGCACACACAAACUUAUGUGGAAUAAAUUCCCAUGGGUCGUGCCGCGCAGGUUUUCGGGCGGAGUAACGCAGGCGCAGGCCAUGGCCAUGGAGGAACUUCACUCUGAGGCGCUACCAAACCGGACUCUGGGUUGGGUCCUGGCCAGUCUGACGACCUGCCUGCCCUUUUGAAGGGCUUAAUGUUAAUUGCGGCUUUUGUUUGGUUUUCCAUUCGAUUAAGUUAAUGGCGACAAGCGGCGCUCUGGAGCGGCCUGCUCUUUCCCCCAUUCAAUUUCCAUUAAAUUAUUGGCAAAUCGAUUUCAUUUUAAUCGGAAAUGCUCCACUACAGACAUACGAAUGCUUAUGUUUAAAUCUUUGCACCUGCUUGAUAAACAUUUAAAUUGUGUUUUCGCAUUUAUUUAAUAAAAUCCAACCACGAGCUACCAUAAGGGUAUAUAUUUUAUAAUUAGCUAAAUGCAUAAUCAGUUAAAUAUCGCUUUUUAAUUUGCAUCUCACUGUAUUCAUUUACGUUGCUGUGGCGACUGUUCUGACACUAGUUUCAUAUGUUUUUGAUACUCCAUCCAUUUGUCUAAUUUAUUAGAACUGAAACAACUUGGGAAGUGUCUACAAAAUAAGCGCUCAAGGGCCUUUGUUCGCCAUCUCUCUAGCCGAUCGAUGACGUCUUUCAUUCCUCAGCUGGUCCAAGCUCUUAAGUAAACGAAUUUGUUGCCACCUUAAUUUGAUCUAGUUUGGUUUCAAAGACAACAAAUUCUGACCAGGAAAUAAGUCAGCAACAACAUGAAAACUCGUUCUUAAUUGCUGAAAAAUAUUUGCUGGCAACAUAACUCCAUCUACAAUGUUUUAUCUUAUGCAAAAACUCAAUCACUCAGUAAAAUCCUAAAAUCAAAAUAUCUUAUUGAUUCUUUUAAUGCCAAUUCCUAAAUAAAAUGAAAAAAAACGAUGCGUAAAAACAUGUAAUCCCCUUUUGGUGCCGUUGCCUUCCUUGUAUUUUACUUGUCUUCCCAGAUCAGAACAGAUCAUGUAUUGAAUUUAUUUAUUUGUAAAAAAAUUGUAAAAAAUAAUGAAACAAAUUGGAAUGGUCUUGGACGGUUAGGAGCAUCGACCAGAUCGAGCAUCGAGAUGGAGCAAACAAUAAUGCAGGAACAUCCGCAGCAAACUGUCAACUUAAGCGUCGUAAAAAGUCGAUUGUAUCGACAAUAAUUCUUCGCAUUAAAAACACAAAGUUAAUGCGCCAGUAGUUGCCGAGCGACUCCACUCGGCUGCAAGGUGGAACCACAGCUAGAGACAGAGACAGUAUUAGCCUCAGCAAGAAAGAGAGAGCGAGGGAGAGAGCACGAGGAGCGAAAGGAAGAUCAGGAGUGGAGAAAGCGGGGAGCCGGGAAAGAGAGCGAGUCCGGAGCGCCUUAAUGGAAGACUCAAAUGCUCGUAAAGUCAGCGGGCUGGGGCCUGGAGACUGGAACUCCUGGGGCUGAGCAUCUCGGAGUGGGGUGCUGAGACUCUUCUGGUGGUUGUCGAGUGCACCGCUGGGCACUUAACUGGAGGAAUUUGUUUGUUUUCUCUGGCCACUAGGCAGUGCGCCCCUCGACGAGCAACUCUCUCACUCUGCUUGGCUCUGUGGAUCCCUCCCCAGGGCUGGCGUGUGCAUCUGGCACACUUACCGCGCAAUUAAUGGCGCAAUUAAAUGUUUACUUUAGCCGCUUUCGAACCGCACAUUCAUAUGUAUACGUAAAUGGCAGCCGUUCGCCAUCACAGGGGUAUCCAGAAAGGAAGGGGAAAAAGUAUUCAGCGGAGAGGCGUGGCUUGGGCUGCUCUUAUCAAAAGCUGGGCACAUGUGAAACGAAGAGCGAGGUGUCAGUCUGUUUAAUUUUGCAUUGAAACUGCUUGCUUGAUGUUUGGCCAUUCCUUUUGUUUUCAAUAGCGAACAGAAAUCGCAGAAUUAGCAAUCAAAUCUCUUGUCUCAUGAGAAUUCAUAAUGAGAGCCAGAAAUAGUUUUAAAAUAUUGAUUUUGGCUUUAAACAAAACUCAUUUGACACUUUGGCAGAUGGAAGACUCGGACAAAUAUUUAUUGACAAUUUUAGUUUCCUAAUGAAGAAAUAUCAAAUGAAUUAUAACAAUUGUGGUGCUGUUGCUCCUCCGAAUACGCAUUCCCUUUCCAGCAUUCCAGCAUUCCAUAAUAUCUGCAAGAGUUUUAGCUUUGGCCAUCGCUCUGCUCUAAUUUUAGUUCCCUCUGCUGUGGGGGUCGUAAAACAAUUUGUUGCAAAAUUCAGCAAACAGCCAGAAAAGUGCCCCAUAAAAACUAUAAUCCUUCCGCUGCGUAUUCGUGAAGGCAAGCAAAAUGAAAAUGAAGAGCAGCAAGGAAACUCUGACACAUGUUUUCCUCCCAGCCCUCCGGAACUGUGCGAAACUCUCGCUUUCGUUUUUAGAGAUCAUAAAGCAGUUUUAAUGGAUGCUUGGGUGUGCUGGUGAUGUAUGUGUGUGUGGUGUGUGUGUGGGUGGACUCAGCACCGCAAAUAGAGUGAAAAUCUAAAAAAUCCAAAUCGCCUGGGAUGGUUGGGUUCCGCUUCGUUCCGUUUGGUUCCGUUCUGCUACGUCAAAGAGUUGCAAUUACAAAAUAUUUAAUUGCCGGCAGAAAAUGUUCAAGGAAAAACGAAAGUGGCCUCGGAAAACGCCGCGGGCGAGGCCUGUUGAGAAAAAGAGUUGACUUUAUGGCACUUAAACAGCUAUAAAAUGUUGAAUUAUGAUUUCGAGGUCGCAAAAAAAAUGCCCAACCGCGGUACUCCCUGUUUUUGUUGCAACAAACACCGUGACGUGUGUCUUUGUUUAUUCUUAGAUUGAAACACACACAUGACGGCAUAUGGGACGGGUAAACGGGCCCCAAUAAUGCGAAUAGCAGCCAAUGACACAUCCGGACGCAGGACAGGACCUGAGCCGAGUCCGUAUCGUGUCUGGGAGAAUUUCGGAAUGACGCCUGUCACUUGGCUUCAAUUUAUUGCCCUUGCCGAUGUCUUAUGGCCGCUGUCCCUCGAUGUGCAAAUGCAUUUACAUAUUCAAAAUGCCACGCUGUGGUCAGUGGCAAUCGCUGUCCCAGACCCUCAGUGCCUGCUGUUGUCUGCCAUGCCAAGUGCACGUUUUGGAUUGUUUAUACAAUAUAUUUCUGUUGUUUUUUUUAAAAGUAAAUAUCAUGAGUGAGUGCCACGACAGACAGAACAAAGAAUGCAUAAAUUACGGAGUCUCCCGCCCCCAGGCAUCAGACUUGUCUGUCAUGAUUCUGACUGGCACUCGCCUAAAAAUCUUGUCCCUCGCCUUAUUGAAAUUGAUGCCAAUGCCAGUGCCUCCUUCUCCCUACCAAUUGCACUGACCCGAGCGGUCUGUCCCCUGUCCCACAUGAUAGUCUCCCAGAGUUCAUUGCGCCCUAUCAGUGUCCAAAGUCGAGACGCACAAAUCAGGCAGAGAUCAACUGCAAAUGCACGAGUACGAGUAAUAAUUACAAUUUAUAAAAGUUUACUGCCUUGCUAAGAUUUUUAAUGCCACUCGCUCUCCUUUCGUUUCGUUACAGCUCUUCGACGUGGGACGCAGACGGGACUCUGGACUCUCUCGUAAGUGAUAUCGAUUGAUCCAUCAGUCGAUAAGUAAUCAUUUUAUUAUCUGCACUCAUAGUCCCACAUUCGCAUGCAUCCGCUCGGCUGGGAACCAAUC